rnacentral:rRNA from 1 species
GAUCCUGGCUCAGGACGAGCGCUGGUGGCGUGCUUAACACAUGCAAGUCGAACGAGAAUCUGUGGAACGAGGAUUCGUCCAAGUGAAGCAGAGGACAGUGGCGGACGGGUGAGUAACGCGUGAGGAACCUGCCUUUCAGAGGGGGACAACAGUUGGAACGACUGCUAAUACCGCAUAACACAUGGGUGUCGCAUGGCACUGAUGUCAAAGAUUUAUCGCUGAAAGA